rnacentral:rRNA from 1 species
AUUGAACGCUGGCGGCAGGCCUAACACAUGCAAGUCGAGCGGAUGAAGGGAGCUUGCUCCUGGAUUCAGCGGCGGACGGGUGAGUAAUGCCUAGGAAUCUGCCUGGUAGUGGGGGAUAACGUCCGGAAACGGGCGCUAAUACCGCAUACGUCCGGAGGGAGAAAGGGGGGGAUCUUGGGACCUCACGCUACAAGAUGAGCCUAGGUCGGAUUAGCUAGUUGGUGGGGUAAAGGCCUACCAAGGCGACGAUCCGUAACUGGUCUGAGAGGAUGAUCAGUCACACUGGAACUGAGACACGGUCCAGACUCCUACGGGAGGCAGCAGUGGGGAAUAUUGGACAAUGGGCGAAAGCCUGAUCCAGCCAUGCCGCGUGUGUGAAGAAGGUCUUCGGAUUGUAAAGCACUUUAAGUUGGGAGGAAGGGCAGUAAGUUAAUACCUUGCUGUUUUGACGUUACCAACAGAAUAAGCACCGGCUAACUUCGUG